AUUGAACGCUGGCGACAGGCCUAACACAUGCCAGUCGAGCGGAUGAAGGGAGCUUGCUCCUGGAUUCAGCGGCGGACGGGUGAGUAAUGCCUAGGAAUCUGCCUGGUAGUGGGGGAUAACGUCCGGAAACGGGCGCUAAUACCGCAUACGUCCUGAGGGAGAAAGUGGGGGAUCUUCGGACCUCACGCUAUCAGAUGAGCCUAGGUCGGAUUAGCUAGUUGGUGGGGUAAAGGCCUACCAAGGCGACGAUCCGUAACUGGUCUGAGAGGAUGAUCAGUCACACUGGAACUGAGACACGGUCCAGACUCCUACGGGAGGCAGCAGUGGGGAAUAUUGGACAAUGGGCGAAAGCCUGAUCCAGCCAUGCCGCGUGUGUGAAGAAGGUCUUCGGAUUGUAAAGCACUUUAAGUUGGGAGGAAGGGCAGUAAGUUAAUACCUUGCUGUUUUGACGUUACCAACAGAAUAAGCACCGGCUAACUUCGUG
rnacentral:rRNA from 1 species